rnacentral:rRNA from 1 species
CACGUAGGGCGCAAGCGUUGUUCGGAGUUACUGGGCGUAAAGGGUGUGUAGGCGGUUCUUUAAGUUUGGUGUGAAAUCUCCCGGCUCAACCGGGAGGGUGCGCCGAAAACUGAAGGGCUAGAGUGCGGGAGAGGAGAGUGGAAUUCCUGGUGUAGCGGUGAAAUGCGUAGAUAUCAGGAGGAACACCGGUGGUGUAAACGGCUCUCUGGACCGUAACUGACGCUGAGACACGAAAGCGUGGGUAGCAAACAGG